UCUUGUAAUUACAGAACCGAUUUCAACACUUUGUUUUGCUUUGCAAAAAUUGCAGCAAAAGUUAUUCUCUGACCCCGUAAAUUUUUCCUUGGACCAGAAAAACCCUUUAAAUUAGAUAAAAUACUAAGCAUUUCUUGUAUUUUUCUAGGUUGCUGUUUUGCAUAUGAUCUGCGGGCUGAUGCUGAAAGUGAACUGCUUUUGAGCUGAGGUUAGAAUUUCGGGGCUUGAUUUAAAGUCCAUCCCGAUCCAGUCCUGGCGAAGACAAUGGUUAUCACAAAGCAAUACCGCUGCAUACACUCAGCAAGUUGUCUUUGCACAAAAGGGCAUCUUACUGAGGAAGUGAUAUUCCUGGUUUUUAAUCAAUUAAAUUGGAACCCUAAGUUGGUUGCAACACUUUCUUGUGUUUGCAAAUGGUUUGACGAUCUUGCCAAACGACUCCUCUGGAAGGAGUUUUGUAAGACAAGAGCUCCUAAAAUGAUGCUUGAUUUGCAAUCUAGUGGAAGUCACAUUGUUGACGGUAACUGGAGAGCACUUGGAAAACUACUCAUAUACUGUUCCGGAUGUGACAAGGGUGGCUUAUUCAAGAACAUUCACAUUCCUGGCCACUUCGUCUACAGAACAAGGUUCUCAGGAACAUCAGGGAAGAGCUUCUUAUUACCACAGUGUAGAACUGAUGUUUUAUACGUUUCUGAUCCCUGUGAACAUCUUGACCAAGGGGAUGAAGGGGAUGUUGGGAUUUUCCGAGGAAUAUUUAAAUCCUUCACGACAUCAAAGGUAAGGAAAUUGCUGAUUAACAGGAGCGCACCUCUGCAUCCUACAGAGGUAUGUCCAUAUUGUAAGGCGAAGUUGUGGAACAUGCUGCAAGCUAAGAUGAUACCAGACAGUGCAAGCUGUAGGUUGGGAGCUUAUGAAGAUUGCAUUGAGUAUUAUGUGUGCCUUAAUGGGCACGUGCUCGGGAUUUGUAUCCUUUUGCCCUUGUCUGAUACAGAUGAAGCGUCGGAGGAGUGAUGUUUUAUUGAUCACAACGUGCAUCUUUAAUCAGGUGUUAUGACACGAAACGAGCGUAUAGCUGAAGUGGUCGAUGUUAUACAUAGAAGUAGGUCGAGCCGGACAAUGCUAGAUUGUUCGGAGAAGCUUAAUCUUGUGAAAGUUGCUCCCCUCAGAUUGUGCUGCUUUGGAAUCUAUUUCUUCUAUUGGCAUACUAGUCGAGAUUCGAGUGCUGCUGAUAACCAUUCCGUUUUAACUAUUGCUGCUCACAGUGAUCUUCAUGGAAACCAUGUAUACUGUAUCCGUGUAUGACCUUCAGAAGUUGAAUUUGAAUGAGACUAUUUUAACAUUUGACACUAAUUAUUUGUCAUUAUUUAAAAGCUAGCUUACUUUCUUGUUAAUUUGACAUACAAAGAAUUAUUAUCAAUGCAUGUGUUAUUAUUCA